GCCCGAUUAGCUCAGCUGGUUAGAGCGUCGUACUAAUAUCCCCUCUUUGGAAUAUCAAGUCAUGCGAAGGUCAACAGUUCAAUCCUGUUAUUGGGCA
rnacentral:tRNA from 2 species